GAACCAAGAAACUGUAGUAUCUAUCUGACUGAUAUGGUACUCUACCAGAUCUUCUCAAAGAUCUCUCUACAACAGAUUCUAGGUUUGAUCUAAUUAAAUUCGACUCUAUGGGUUUAUUAGAUUUUAUUCGAUUCUUCUAUCAAUCGAACUUCAUCAAGUUCAAUCUUAAAGGCAUUAGUUCCUUCUUCAAUGUUGUCCAGCUAUGCAACCCAAGAGGGAGGGGG
rnacentral:lncRNA from 1 species